UACAGGGGGUGCAAGCGUUACUCGGAAUUAUUGGGCGUAAAGAGCGUGUAGGUGGUUUGUUAAGUCUGAUGUGAAAUCCCUGGGCUCAAUCCAGGAAGUGCAUUGGAUACUGGCAGACUAGAGUAUAGGAGGGGUGAGCGGAAUUCCUGGUGUAGAGGUGAAAUUCGUAGAUAUCAGGAGGAACAACAGUGGCGAAGGCGGCUCACUAGACUAUUACUGACACUAAGGCGCGAAAGCGUGGGGAGCAAACAGG
rnacentral:rRNA from 1 species